UGGGAAUAUUGCACAAUGGGCGCAAGCCUGAUGCAGCCAUGCCGCGUGUGUGAAGAAGGCCUUCGGGUUGUAAAGCACUUUCAGCGAGGAGGAAGGUGGUGAACUUAAUACGUUCAUCAAUUGACGUUACUCGCAGAAGAAGCACCGGCUAACUCCGUGCCAGCAGCCGCGGUAAUACGGAGGGUGCAAGCGUUAAUCGGAAUUACUGGGCGUAAAGCGCACGCAGGCGGUCCGUUAAGUCAGAUGUGAAAUCCCCGGGCUCAACCUGGGAACUGCAUUUGAAACUGGCAAGCUAGAGUCUCGUAGAGGGGGGUAGAAUUCCAGGUGUAGCGGUGAAAUGCGUAGAGAUCUGGAGGAAUACCGGUGGCGAAGGCGGCCCCCCUGGANGAAGACUGACGCUCAGGUGCGAAAAGCGUGGGGGCAGCAAACA
rnacentral:rRNA from 1 species